rnacentral:rRNA from 1 species
UCGACCUGAGGUCAGGCAAGAACACCCGCUGAACUUAAGCAUAUCAAUAAGCGGAGGACU